CCGAAAAUGAAGCAUCUGACUCAUCAUCACAGUUCAUAGAUCCGGAUCCAGUGCAUGAAGUUCCUCCAUCAUUUGAAGAUUUUUUUGGUGACAACCUCCACCGUCAACAUCCGACACGAUCCGGAUCGUCAUCCUCAUACCACCCGGACUUCCACCCCGAAGCACGUACACCCACCACUGAGGAUAUUUUUCCAUCGGCACCUCCGGUCACGCAAUACCAAUUAAGUCCCGAUUAUGGUGAAUAUAAUUAUUCCACCUUUUUAACUACACCGGAAGGGACACAAGACUCUGGACCGAGCAAUUAUCAAACGCCUUAGCAAGGUGCACGGCAUCGCCGACGGAGGCAUCCGG
rnacentral:lncRNA from 1 species